rnacentral:rRNA from 1 species
UUGAAAAGAACUUUGAAGAGAGAGUUCAAGAGUACGUGAAACCGUUCAGGGGUAAACCUAAGAAACCCAAAAGAUCGAACGGGGAGAUUCAUCGUCAGCGGCGCUGGCUUCGCGUCGGUGGGCGAUGUCCCGCGGAGUCCUCGCGGCUCGCGCGCGGGCACGCUACCGUGCGUCGAUGUCCGGCUGUCGUCGUCGUGCACUUCUCCCCAAGUAGAACGUCGCGACCCGCUGGGUGUCGGUCUACGGCCCGGGUGCGGUGACUGUCGCGUCGCCGGUAAAACGGCACGCGACAAACCCUCGGUAGCCCGGCCGGCUGCUCGGCGGUACGCGCAAGGUAUCAGGUCGCACCUACGGUGCGUCGAGGACGUCGCAAGCGCGCGCCACGGUACUCGGAGGUCACGGACUUUGCGCCGUCCCCGGUCCUGGCCCGCUGCUGGUUAAAGUACGUAUAACCUUCGACAGGCCUGCGAACGUUCCUCUUCGGAGGAACGGAUACCGGUCGGCGACGCUACUGCUUUGGGUACUCUUAGGACCCGUCUUGAAACACGGACCAAGGAGUCUAACAUGUACGCGAGUCAUUGGGACUUGUCGCGAGACCUAAAGGCGUAAUGAAAGUGAAGGUCGGCCCUGGCCGUCGACCGAGGGAGGAUGGGCCGCGUCGCGAUGCGGCCUCGCACUCCCGGGGCGUCUCGUUCUCAUAGCGAGAAGAGGCGCACCCAGAGCGUACACGUUGGGACCCGAAAGAUGGUGAACUAUGCCUGGUCAGGACGAAGUCAGGGGAAACCCUGAUGGAGGUCCGUAGCGAUUCUGACGUGCAAAUCGAUCGUCGGAACUGGGUAUAGGGGCGAAAGACUAAUCGAACCAUCUAGUAGCUGGUUCCCUCCGAAGUUUCCCUCAGGAUAGCUGGCACUCAUGGACCGCACGCGAGUCUCAUCUGGUAAAGCGAAUGAUUAGAGGCCUUGGGGCCGAAACGACCUCAACCUAUUCUCAAACUUUAAAUGGGUGAGAUCUCUGGCUUUCUUGAAUUAUGAAGCCACGAGCAUCUCUCCGGAUCAGAGUGCCAAGUGGGCCAUUUUUGGUAAGCAGAACUGGCGCUGUGGGAUGAACCAAACGCAGAGUUAAGGCGCCCAACUCGACGCUCAUGGGACACCAUGAAAGGCGUUGGUUGCUUAAGACAGCAGGACGGUGGCCAUGGAAGUCGGAAUCCGCUAAGGAGUGUGUAACAACUCACCUGCCGAAGCAACUAGCCCUGAAAAUGGAUGGCGCUGAAGCGUCGAGCCUAUACUCUGCCGUCAGCGGCAAGUGGGGCGGCGACGGGAGCGUUGCGCGCGUCGGGCCGCGUUUGCGGCUCUCUCGCGAGGCAUACGUCUCCCACGAGUCGUCACGAAGCCCUGACGAGUAGGAGGGUCGCGACGGUGAGCGCAGAAGGGUCU